UUUACAAAUCUAAUUUGGCAACACGGUUUUCUUGACAAGAAUUUUUACAACGCGCGACAAAACAAGAAAAACACAGAGAAGCAAAAUACUGAAAAUAAGUAACGUCAUGGGACUCAUGGCAUGUAUUACCAGUGUUUAGAAAUCCCCCAUGAACAAGGUUUAUCAGUUUCUAUGGAAAUCUUCCAGAGAAACAUGCCCUACCCUGCGAUUUUUUGGUCGAGGGGACUUUUUCUACCACACAAGGGCAAGAUGCCCUUUUGCUUCAAGAGAUUACUUCAAAACAUCAGCAGUGUCGUCAAGAUGUUGGGGUAUGGAGCUAAGAAGUUGGAAUCGGUGGUCUUUAACAAAAGUCACUUUGAGAACUUUGCAUGUGAUGUAGUCAGCAAGCAAUACUACAUUGAAAUCUACAAUGGAUCCAAAAGUGACUGGUCUCUCCAAUAUCAAUUGGCAUUCUAGCUCAAAAUUGGCUCAGAAAAUCAAAUAGGAUGCAGCUAAUGUAGAUACUUAUGCAAGAAAGAUUCUUUUGACACAGUUUUCAGAAAACAUGCCAAUGAUGCCUUCUCAAAUUUAGAAUCUCUCAUCGUCCAAGAGGUUUUGAUUCCACAUGGACGCCUACGUUGCGCCGAAAACAAUUCUGAACCGGCAUGGACUGCUAAUAGUAAAUGAAAACAAGUCAGCUGAGUUUUCAUCCACAGCUGAAUCAGUUCGAUUACUUAAUCGAACUUAAUCGAUCUCUCUAUUGCGCUUCAAAAAAGGACAACAAGAAAACGCAGCUGCGCUUCCUGAAGUCAGUUUAGAUCAUUCCAUGGCAGUUCUGGCCGCCUUAGUCAAACAUCUAGACCCAAUGACCGACGAAACAAACUUUGGAAAGUACAGUCUACAUAAGUUUGAUUUUACUCAAUACUACAUGAGACUUGAUUCGGCAGCAUCCGCCGCCUUGCAUCUGACUUCGUACGGAGCUGAAGUCUCCACGAUGGUGACGUCCAAAGCUGGAGCUCCUCGUACAAUCGCUGCCCAGCUGCUUCUCAAACUUCGGGUGGGCAGCAACUGUUGGCUCAGUGGAUCAAACAUCCUCUACAGAUAAAAACAGGAUUAAUAGGCUACGUCUAGAUGUCGUAGAAACAUUCGUCAACGAUGUCCAGCUAAGACAAACGAUAACAGAGGAUCACCUCCGACGGAUGCCGGAUUACCAAUGACUAUAGCCAAGAAGUUACAAAAGUCUAAAGCAAAUUUACAAGAUCUCUACAAGUUGUACUUGGGCUUGAGUCGCUUGUCGGUACUGGUCGACUGCUUACUGGAGAACCAGGGGGAUCAUGCCGCUGUUGUUAUAGGCGUGCUCAUCCAGCCAUUACGAAAUGCGAACGAAAAGCUUGUCAAAUUAAGGUAGAGACAACUAUAGACCUCAAUCAAGCAAAUCAAGGCGAGUUUAUCGUCAUGACCAACUAGGAGAGCUCAAAAAUGAACUAGAUGAUUGCGGCUCGAGAGCUGAAAAGGUCCUCUCCUGAGCGGCAUCCGAUCUCAAGCUGGGGACUUCCAAGAGCGUCAAAUUGGAGAGCAACGCACAGAUCGGAUAUUAUUUCCGAGUCACCCUGAAGGAUGAAAAGAAUCUUCGCAACAUCCGCAAUUAUACCAUACAAUUGAUACUAAUAAAAAUGGCGUACGAUUCCGGAACUCUGCCUUGGAAGAAGUCGACGAAACUUACUUGAAAGUACGCCGUGAUUAUGAGCAACAACAAAGUUUCAGUUGUCAGUCGCUGUUGGAUACGUUGAACCUCUGCAGUCGUUGAACGAUGCCUUGUCAAAGCUGGAUGUACUGACAAGUUUCGCCGUAUGUUCAAUUAGCGCUCCAAUUCGGUACGUCAGACCGUAAAUCUUGGAGAAAGGAUCGGGGAGCACUGAACUAAUUCAAGUCAGACAUCCGUGCAUAGAACCCCAAGACGGAGUUAAUUUCAUUACCAACGACAACAUCUUUCACAAAGAUGGGCAUCGUUUCUACAUUAUUAUCGGGCCCAAUAUGGGUUGAUGCCAUUUUAACUGGAGUCGGAGCUGGUGAUUGCCAUCUCAAAGGCAAAUCAAUUUUCAUGGCUGAAAUUAUUGAGACUGCCAACAUCACCCGAGU